rnacentral:lncRNA from 1 species
UUUGUAUCACGAACUAUGAAGUUUUGAUCCCUCAUUUUUAUGUUGGUACGUAGGCACAAGACCGAAGAUCUUGUCAAACACAAAAAUAUAAUUAAUGAAUUCUUUUCUCAUCCCCCCAUUCUAUUUGUUUGUAAAUAUCACUUUAAACCAAGUACAUAUACACACAAAAGGGAUCCCUAGGAGUACCUAUGAGACUUUGGGUGCUAACACCUUCCCUCUGUGUAACCAAC